rnacentral:rRNA from 1 species
UACGUAGGGUGCAGGCGUUAAUCGGAAUUACUGGGCGUAAAGCGUGCGCAGGCGGUUCUGAAAGUCAGCUGUGAAAGCCCCGGGCUCAACCUGGGAACUGCAUUGGAAACUAACGGGCUCGAGUGUGGCAGAGGGGGGUGGAAUUCCACGUGUAGCAGUGAAAUGCGUAGAGAUGUGGAGGAACACCGAUGGCGAAGGCAGCCCCCUGGGCUAACACUGACGCUCAGGCACGAAAGCGUGGGGAGCAAACAGG